AAGUCCCGCAACGAGCGCAACCCCUAUCAUCUGUUGCCAGCAUUUAAGGUGGGGACUCAGAUGAGACUGCCGGUGACAAACCGGAGGAAGGUGGGGACGACGUCAAGUCAUCAUGGCCCUUAUGUCCUGGGCUACACACGUGCUACAAUGGCCGGUACAGAGUGAAGCGAAACCGCGAGGUGAAGCAAAACGCAGAAAGCCGGUCUCAGUACGGAUUGGAGUCUGAAACUCGACUUCAUGAAGUUGGAAUCGCUAGUAAUCGCGCAUCAGCAUGGCGCGGUGAAUACGUUCCCGGGCCUU
rnacentral:rRNA from 1 species